GACGGAGGGUGCUAGCGUUGUUCGGAAUGACUGGGCGUAAAGGGCGCGUAGGCGGCUCGUGAAGUCGGGUGUGAAAGCCCGGGGCUCAACCCCGGAACGGCAUCCGAUACUGGCGGGCUUGAGACCGGGAGAGGAGGGUGGAAUACCCAGUGUAGAGGUGAAAUUCGUAGAUAUCGGGUGGAACACCAGUGGCGAAGGCGACUUUCUGGCUGCUAACUGACGCUGAGACGCGAAAGCUAGGGGAGCAAACGGG
rnacentral:rRNA from 1 species